rnacentral:rRNA from 1 species
AUGAACGCUGGCGGCGUGCCUAAUACAUGCCAGUCGCGCGAACAGACGAGGAGCUUGCUCCUCUGACGUUAGCGGCGGACGGGUGAGUAACACGUGGAUAACCUACCUAUAAGACUGGGAUAACUUCGGGAAACCGGAGCUAAUACCGGAUAAUAUAUUGAACCGCAUGGUUCAAUAGUGAAAGACGGUUUUGCUGUCACUUAUAGAUGGAUCCGCGCCGCAUUAGCUAGUUGGUAAGGUAACGGCUUACCAAGGCAACGAUGCGUAGCCGACCUGAGAGGGUGAUCGGCCACACUGGAACUGAGACACGGUCCAGACUCCUACGGGAGGCAGCAGUAGGGAAUCUUCCGCAAUGGGCGAAAGCCUGACGGAGCAACGCCGCGUGAGUGAUGAAGGUCUUCGGAUCGUAAAACUCUGUUAUUAGGGAAGAACAAAUGUGUAAGUAACUAUGCACGUCUUGACGGUACCUAAUCAGAAAGCCACGGCUAACUACGUG